AGAGUUUUAGUCAGGAUUUGGCCAAAUGCCGAAAGAAGAAGAGAAAAGUUUUUAAUAAAUUAAAAUAAAUUAAGAAUGAAUACUAAAUAAAAAUUAAAAGAAUAAUUAAGGAAGAAAUAAAAAAAAAUAUAAAUAUUUGUGGGUUGUCUCCCACUAAGCGCUUUGUUUAAUGUCGCAAGCUCGACAUAAAAACUAUCAAUUAUAAUCUAUAAGUUCUGGAGG
rnacentral:lncRNA from 1 species